GGUUAAGUGAAUAAGGGCGCACGGUGGAUGCCUUGGCACUAGGAGCCGAUGAAGGACGGGACUAACACCGAUAUGCUUCGGGGAGCUGUAAGUAAGCUUUGAUCCGGAGAUUUCCGAAUGGGGAAACCCAGCAUCUUUUAUAGGAUGUUACUUUUCAGUGAAUACAUAGCUGAUUAGAGGUAGACGCAGAGAACUGAAACAUCUAAGUACCUGCAGGAAGAGAAAGAAAAUUCGAUUCCCUGAGUAGCGGCGAGCGAAACGGGAAAAGCCCAAACCAAGAGGCUUGCCUCUUGGGGUUGUAGGACUCCAACAUGGUAGUUCAGUGAGAUAGUCGAAGGACCUGGAAAGGUCUGCUAGAAAGGGUAAAAGCCCCGUAGACAAAAUUUGACUGGCACCUAGGAGGAUCCUGAGUACGGCGGAACACGAGGAAUUCCGUCGGAAUCCGGGAGGACCAUCUCCCAAGGCUAAAUACUCCCUAGUGACCGAUAGUGAACCAGUACCGUGAGGGAAAGGUGAAAAGCACCCCGGAAGGGGAGUGAAAUAGAUCCUGAAACCGUGUGCCUACAACAAGUUAAAGCCCGUUAAUGGGUGAUAGCGUGCCUUUUGUAGAAUGAACCGGCGAGUUACGAUUACUUGCGAGGUUAAGUUGAAAAAACGGAGCCGUAGCGAAAGCGAGUCUGAAUAGGGCGAAUGAGUAAGUGGUCGUAGACCCGAAACCAUGUGAUCUACCCAUGUCCAGGUUGAAGGUGCGGUAAAACGCACUGGAGGACCGAACCCACGUACGUUGAAAAGUGCGGGGAUGAGGUGUGGGUAGCGGAGAAAUUCCAAACGAACUUGGAGAUAGCUGGUUCUCUCCGAAAUAGCUUUAGGGCUAGCCUCAGAGUAAGAAUGAUGGAGGUAGAGCACUGUUUGGACUAGGGGCCCAUCUCGGGUUACCGAAUUCAGAUAAACUCCGAAUGCCAUCCAUUCAUCUCUGGGAGUCAGACUGUGAGUGAUAAGAUCCAUAGUCGAAAGGGAAACAGCCCAGACCACCAGCUAAGGUCCCAAAAUAUAUGUUAAGUGGAAAAGGAUGUGGGGUUGCACAGACAACUAGGAUGUUGGCUCAGAAGCAGCCACCAUUUAAAGAGUGCGUAAUAGCUCACUAGUCGAGUGACCCUGCGCCGAAAAUGUACCGGGGCUAAACAUAUUACCGAAGCUGUGGAAUACACCAUUAGGUGUAUUGGUAGGAGAGCGUUCUAAGGGCGUUGAAGGUAGACCGUGAGGACUGCUGGAGCGCUUAGAAGUGAGAAUGCCGGUAUGAGUAGCGAAAGACAGGUGAGAAUCCUGUCCACCGAAUGACUAAGGUUUCCUGGGGAAGGCUCGUCCGCCCAGGGUUAGUCGGGACCUAAGCCGAGGCCGAAAGGCGUAGGCGAUGGAUAACAGGUUGAUAUUCCUGUACCCGUUGUUUUUGUUUGAACAAUGGAGGGACGCAGGAGGCUAAGGAAUCAGACGAUUGGAAAUGUCUGUCCAAGCAACAAGUCUUGAAGUGAGUCAAAUGCUUGCAUCUAUAAGGACAAGUUGUGAUGGGGAGGGAAAUAAUAGUACCGAAGUUCCUGAUGUCACACUGCCGAGAAAAGCUUCUAGUUAGAAAACAAUGGCCCGUACCGCAAACCGACACAGGUAGUCGAGGAGAGAAUCCUAAGGUGAGCGAGAGAACUCUCGUUAAGGAACUCGGCAAAAUGACCCCGUAACUUCGGGAGAAGGGGUGCUGAUCUAACGAUCAGCCGCAGUGAAUAGGCCCAAGCGACUGUUUAUCAAAAACACAGGUCUCUGCAAAAUCGAAAGAUGACGUAUAGGGGCUGACGCCUGCCCGGUGCUGGAAGGUUAAGAGGAGUGCUUAGCGUAAGCGAAGGUACGAAUUGAAGCCCCAGUAAACGGCGGCCGUAACUAUAACGGUCCUAAGGUAGCGAAAUUCCUUGUCGGGUAAGUUCCGACCCGCACGAAAGGCGUAACGAUUUGGGCACUGUCUCAACGAGAGACUCGGUGAAAUUUUAGUACCUGUGAAGAUGCAGGUUACCCGCGACAGGACGGAAAGACCCCAUGGAGCUUUACUGCAGUUUGAUAUUGAGUGUUUGUACCACAUGUACAGGAUAGGUAGGAGCCGUAGAAGUCGGAACGCUAGUUUCGACAGAGGCGCUGGUGGGAUACUACCCCUGUGUUAUGACCACUCUAACCCGCACCACUAAUCGUGGUGGGAGACAGUGUCAGAUGGGCAGUUUGACUGGGGCGGUCGCCUCCUAAAGAGUAACGGAGGCGCCCAAAGGUUCCCUCAGAAUGGUUGGAAAUCAUUCGCAGAGUGUAAAGGCACAAGGGAGCUUGACUGCGAGACCUACAAGUCGAGCAGGGACGAAAGUCGGGCUUAGUGAUCCGGUGGUUCCGCAUGGAAGGGCCAUCGCUCAACGGAUAAAAGCUACCCUGGGGAUAACAGGCUUAUCUCCCCCAAGAGUCCACAUCGACGGGGAGGUUUGGCACCUCGAUGUCGGCUCGUCGCAUCCUGGGGCUGUAGUCGGUCCCAAGGGUUGGGCUGUUCGCCCAUUAAAGCGGCACGCGAGCUGGGUUCAGAACGUCGUGAGACAGUUCGGUCCCUAUCCGUCGCGGGCGUUGGAAAUUUGAGAGGAUCUGUCCUUAGUACGAGAGGACCGGGAUGGACUUACCGCUGGUGUACCAGUUGUCUCGCCAGAGGCAUCGCUGGGUAGCUAUGUAGGGAAGGGAUAAACGCUGAAAGCAUCUAAGUGUGAAGCCCACCUCAAGAUGAGAUUUCCCAUUUCUUUAAGAAAGUAAGAUCCCUGAGAGAUGAUCAGGUAGAUAGGUCAGAAGUGGAAGUACAGUGAUGUACGGAGCGGACUGAUACUAAUCGAUCGAGGACUUAACCAA
rfam:Enterococcus hermanniensis strain DSM 17122 Scaffold27, whole genome shotgun sequence.